AUUGAACGCUGGCGGCAGGCCUAACACAUGCAAGUCGAGCGGAUGAAGGGAGCUUGCUCCUGGAUUCAGCGGCGGACGGGUGAGUAAUGCCUAGGAAUCUGCCUGGUAGUGGGGGAUAACGUCCGGAAACGGGCGCUAAUACCGAAUACGUCCUGAGGGAGAAAGUGGGGGAUCGUCGGACCUCACGCUAUCAGAUGAGCCUAGGUCGGAUUAGCUAGUUGGUGGGGUAAAGGCCUACCAAGGCGACGAUCCGUAACUGGUCUGAGAGGAUGAUCAGUCACACUGGAACUGAGACCCGGUCCAGACUCCUACGGGAGGCAGCAGUGGGCAAUAUUGGACAAUGGGCGAAUGCCUUAUCCAGCCAUCCCGCGUGUGUGACGAAGGUCUUCGGAUUCUAAAGCCCUUUCAGUUGGGAGGAAGGGCAGUAAGUUAAUACCUUGCUGUUUUGACGUUACCAACAGAAUAAGCACCGGCUAACUUCGUG
rnacentral:rRNA from 1 species